rnacentral:rRNA from 1 species
UACUCCCUACGGGAGGCAGCAGUGGGGAAUAUUGCACAAUGGGGGAAACCCUGAUGCAGCGACGCCGCGUGAGUGAAGAAGUAUUUCGGUAUGUAAAGCUCUAUCAGCAGGGAAGAAAAAAGACGGUACCUGACUAAGAAGCCCCGGCUAACUACGUGCCAGCAGCCGCGGUAAUACGUAGGGGGCAAGCGUUAUCCGGAUUUACUGGGUGUAAAGGGAGCGUAGACGGUAUGGCAAGUC